ensembl:lncRNA
GUGCAGGGUUAAAAUGUGAUAUACAAACUCUUAACCAAGUAACAAUUGUUCAGGAAGAGCAGUGUCAAUGUACAUGCUACACAUUCAGGUUUAUUUUCUUCACCUUCAAGAUCUUUGCCAGUCUCCUCAGUCCACAAUGCACAGAUGAUGAUUCUCCCAUCCCCUCAGCUUCGAGUACUAGCUUCCAUUAUCCAUGAUGCUGCCAAAAAGCUGGGCAACAGCUAGGGCUGAAAUUCUACAAAGACUUAGAUAUAAUGGUUAUUCGUCUACGGAGAAUGACACCUGGGUAUAUAAGGUUAUUGCAGACUCAAGCUGCAGGAAAAAUAGUUUUCAACUCAACAGACACACUGCUGCAACGUACAGCCUUGCUACUGGGAAUGUUUGGGAUCAGUAUAUCCAGCUACAGCACACACCAGCUAGCUCAAGAGAAGAGGCUUCCCUUAAGCUGCAUUGGGAUGUGACCCAAGAAAUAAACGCAUAUGUCAGUAGUGCUGAUGAGUGGCUUUUCACUCUCAGUUAUCAGUCUGAAGGUCAUGAGACAGUUUGCAGUCCUGAUUUCCACAUGCAAACUUGAAAAAAUUGAAGAAUCACAGAUUUCUUUGAGAAAGAAAAAAGAAUAAUGACUAACAGAGGCAUUAGAUUUCCAAGUAAGAUGAAUUGUCUGUAAACACAGAUUUCUUUCAUUAUCCAGUGUAUACAUAGAGAGAUUUAAAGGUAUAAAGUAUAGUUAAAAUCAGAGUAGGUAUAAGGAUAUUGGUGGGGGUACCAUGCUCAGUUAAGGCCACCUUGUUACAGCUUUUGCAAAUAGACUCUUAUACAAAGACUUGUUUUGAAAAGGAAAGUUGGAAGCAGUAUAUUCUUCAUGACAAGUGUUAGAGCAAAUAAUGCAUCUCUGUCUUAGUACUGUUAUAUCUCUAGAUACAUAAAUUUGUUUGUAUUACAGGAUUUGUGCAUUCUGUCUUUUAGUGUUGAGUCUUAAACAUUUCAUGCCUUUUGUGUAGAAAUGUUCAUGCAUUGUAGCAUAAUCUUACAUCCUUAUAUAACAGCAGAAAUGGCUGGAGACUACACCCUAAGUAUGUUGUUGGAAAGGAGCCUUGACACCAAACCAGAUACCUUGGCGUUCUGUACAGAAACUCUCUACUCUGGAAAGAACCAGUAAAAAUAUUGGAUGUUUUUUUGUUGCGGAGUUCAACAUCUGUUCACAUUUCUCUGCAAAACUCACUCAUCCCAUAACACACAUUCUGAUUAAAAUAAAAAAAGAGAUUGACCUUUUUUCUCUCCUUUC